AACGCACAUUGCACCCUCUGGUAUUCCGGAGGGUAUGCCUGUUUGAGUGUCAUUAAUCUCUCAACACAGACAAGUUUUACUACUUGUUCUGUUGCUUGGAUGUUGAAGGCUUGCUGGCAGUCUGACUGUCAGCUCCUUUUAAAUGUAUUAGCAGAAAAAUGCAGAACUGGCUUCAGUUUGAUAAAUGACUUAUCUGUGUUGCUGUUGCUAGGAUAAUGCAAAUCUUUUUGCUUCUAAUAGUCUCUUCAUGAGACUGUCUCAUUUGAGGCAUACAAUCUUGACACUUGACCUCAAAUCAGGUAGGACUACCCGCUGAACUUAA
rnacentral:misc_RNA from 1 species